CCCCCCCACCCCACCUCCUGCUACCUGGCUAUUGUUUUUGAAGAAUGGUUGACAGAAAGUUCAUGGGCUAAGAAACAGAAACUGAAAGAAGAGGAUUGUAUAAUUUUCUUUCCUGCUCGCUGCUACUUUAAAGCUUUUUAUUGGCAUAUCAUAUACUUCUGUGGAGAUGUACACAUCGUAAGUACAAAGCUUAAGAGUCAGUACAAGGGGCGGAGCCAUGGCUCGGCAGGAAAAGGUCCCUGACGCCAAACCUGGCAGCCUGAGUCCAGUCUUUGGGACCCACGUGUCGGAAGAAGAGAACUGACUCCUGAAGUUUCCUCUGAGUUCCUCCAGCAAACUGUGGCUAGCAUGCGCUCCUCCCGCACAAGACAGAGAGAAGGACAAUUUCUCUAUGGUCCUGUGGCCUCUUUUCUGAAUUCUGAUCAAGUUGCUAUGAGAACUUAGUUUCCUUGUGGCAUGUCAGGAAUUGUGGGCCAGCCUGGACCAGGAUCUGCUCAGGAAGAGAAUGAAGAUAUUCUUUAUGUACAGAAAUAAUUGCAAAAAUGGUCUCCAAGAAACUGGAAUUUCCCCAGGAAUCUUCAUGCUGAAAGAAGGAAAAGGCUGAAGCUUGUACCAGCCAGAGGAGGACCUUGCCUCUCAGUGUUGUUCACAUCCAGAGAACCAAAUAUGUUAGAUGGAAAAGGUCAGUUCAAAUCACUGUUGAAUCAAAGUUACUCAUCAUGGUCCCUGAGCUGUGAUGCUUCUCUUGUAUCAUCAGGUGGACCCAACGUCAUCGUGUGGUUUCCUCUCCCUCCCCCUC